GACGAACGCUGGCGGCGUGCUUGACACAUGCAAGUCGAACGGUGAACGAGGGAGCUUGCUCCCUCCGGAUCAGUGGCGAACGGGUGAGUAACACGUGAGCAAUCUGCCCCGAACUCUGGGAUAAGCGUUGGAAACGACGUCUAAUACCGGAUACGACGCGGGAGGGCAUCCUCUCCGCGUGGAAAGAACUUCGGUUCGGGAUGAGCUCGCGGCCUAUCAGCUUGUUGGUGAGGUAACGGCUCACCAAGGCGACGACGGGUAGCCGGCCUGAGAGGGUGACCGGCCACACUGGGACUGAGACACGGCCCAGACUCCUACGGGAGGCAGCAGUGGGGAAUAUUGCACAAUGGGCGCAAGCCUGAUGCAGCAACGCCGCGUGAGGGACGACGGCCUUCGGGUUGUAAACCUCUUUUAGCAGGGAAGAAGCGAAAGUGACGGUACCUGCAGAAAAAGCACCGGCUAACUACGUG
rnacentral:rRNA from 1 species